AGCCCCGCGCCCCUCGCUCCUCACUCCCUCGUCCGCCCCGAGCCACACGCACACCCAAUCCCCUCCCCUCCAACCCUAGCCGCCCCGCUCCCCUCCCUCUCCACGGCGCCGCCGCCGCCGCCUCCUCCCCUUCUUCCCUGCUCUCCACCGUGCCGCCUCUUCCUCCUCUUCACUGCCCUCUCCAGCGGCGGCAAAGAACGGCGGCGCUCGAUCCGAUCUGCUGAAGAGAAAAGAUGAGAGAGGGAGAGAGACAAGGAAGGAGAGGAGGGAGAAAGAUAGAGGAAAGAGGAGACCGAGGUGUGACGGCGGAUAAGAGAGGGUGACCGAAAGGAGCGUGACGACCUGCAGACAAAGGGCGGUGGCGGCGCCGCUCGAUUUGAUCUGCGUGAUAGAGAAGAUGAGAGGGAGAGAGAGAAGGAAGAACAUGAGAGGAGGGAGAAAGAGAGAGGAAAGAGGAGAGGGGGUCGACGGCCGACAGGAGAGGACCACCGGAAGGAGUGCCGCCGGCUCGUCGUCUUCCACCGCCGGCGUCGGCCUGCACCAGUGAGGUCGGGCGAGACCUUGCUUCCAGGGCGGCUUGACCACAGUCUACAGAACAGUAAAAAUGAAGGAUUUGGGGGCUGCUCAGUUUUGGAGUAGCAAACCAUAGAGGAUAUGGGGCUGCACGUGCUUGGAGCAGCAAGCCAUGGCAAAGAAGUACUGCCAGGGGUGGCUGUUUGUUUACUGAAGGGGGUGUUGAUCUGCUGCCCCUUGUUCUACACUCUGUCCAAGUCCUGUUGUGGUUCCCUUUGUUUGCUUUGUUGUCUACAGCUUUGUGAUCUCACGUGUUGCUCACCUUGCUCUCAAGGUUGAUGCUAUAUUUGCUAUUCAUCUCCCUAUAGCAAGGUUCAUGGCUAGAGUUGAGCAGGAUUUUGAAUAUUAUGCCCUCGCUCCGCAUCGCACCACUCUGCCUCCUGCCACCGCGUUCGAUCUCCUCGCCUGCUGUUGUCCGAGUUGGUGGAGGUGGUAGAGGCAGCGUGGAUGGCUUGGUGACGGCCUCAGCUUUCCUUGUUGUUCAUCCACGUCAUCCUUUUAAGUAACACAAACAAUUUUUUGUGUGUGGUAUGAUCUUCGCAAGUUGAAGGAAGCACGGCCACUCAGCAAGUUCAGGUUGUUUUUCAUCCGAUGAAGAUCUUUGCAGCUUCGCUGACCCGGGUGAUGGCCUCAUCUUUGUUCCUUGCUCUUCUUCCACGUCGUCCUUUUUGAGUAACAAACAGUUUUUUUGUGGUAUUAUCUUUGCAGGUUGAUGGAAGCACACACACUCAACGAGUUCAGGUUGCUUUUCAUCUGAUGAAGAUCUGUCCUUCUCUGACAUUCUUUAGUUUCCAGUGUUUAUCAUUGUUAAGGAGGAGGCGGUUAAAUCGCUGAAACAAGUUCUUGAUGCUUGUGAAGUACAUGGGGGAGGCGCGCAUAGUUGAUGAUUAUGUUCUGGGUUGGCCAUUGAGAGGGAGGCCGAAGCAAACUCCGUCAGGUUUCAGAUAACUACUUAGGUUAGGCGGGAGAAAUAAAAAGGGUAACCAUAGAUAUAUGGUCUAGCAUCACGAGGUUCAGGUUCCUGUUGUUGAUCAACCGUUGCUUCGGUCGAGUUAGAGAUUAAAGAAGACUGAAAUUAUGGGCUCACAGCGAGGAUUGUUGUGUCCAACCUGCACAAGAAUGCCAAGAAUUCCUUCUAGGAGACGUAAGCGAUUGUUGUGUCCAACCUACACAAGAAUGCCAAGAAUUCCUUCUCGGAGACGUAAGCCACGGCGCAUGUUUCUGCCAUGAUUUCCUUCGGUUGGAUUUCGUGGAUUUAGGUGUUGAAAAAUUCUGGGUUGUGGAUGCAGGAUUAAGGAUAUGUACCUGCACUACAAUGAGAGAUUUGGGCUGCUUCUUUGUGGCUUCCAAACUUGAAAUGUUUGUUUUGAAUUUAGUUUAGUUUUUUGUUGUGGAUUCACAGCUUCUCAUAUGUACCAUCCUCUUAGACCUUUAGAUUUUCAAAGAAACUAAAUGUGUGGUAUGGUCUUAAUAGUACAACUUAAAGCUUUACAUGCUUUAUAUUUUCUCUGAAAUUUGCUCUUGAAAAAUCA